rnacentral:lncRNA from 1 species
UGAGCUGAACUUGGCAGGGAAGGCUGCUCUGAGGCGGACACCACAGCAACAUCGGUGCCUGGGGAACUUCAGAUCCAAGGGCACCUGAAGACCUAGUAUCCACACGGCUCCCUUCUCCUGUAACCCACCACGAUGUGGGCGGCCUCGAAGAAGGCCCACGAGCAACAUACCGAGUGCUCCAGGGAAGCGAGAGCACACACCGGGCAGGAUUCACAAUCAAGACAAGGUGAUGAUGGACAGGCAUGCACACAUGAGCACGUGGAGCACACAGUGUGUUUGGCUGCAGGAGAAGAAUCCAGUUUUCAGCAGGUGAAUGCAGAGAAGCCCUGCUGCUCAGGACAAAGAAUGUUUCCAGAAUGAACCAUGUUUGCAGCUCUCCAUUGCCCAGGAUGAGCGGCGUCCCCA